GCCAGCAUGGUUUAGUGGUUUGAGUUUUGGACUAUGACUCUGGAGGCCAGGGUUCAAAUCCCUGUUCAGCCA